GUGAGGAAUAUUGCGCAAUGGAGGCAACUCUGACGCAGCCAUGCCGCGUGCAGGAAGAAGGCGCUACGCGUUGUAAACUGCUUUUAACCGGGAAGAAACCCCAGGACGUGUCCUGGGUUGACGGUACCGGAGGAAUAAGCACCGGCUAACUUCGUGCCAGCAGCCGCGGUAAUACGAAGGGUGCAAGCGUUAUCCGGAUUCAUUGGGUUUAAAGGGUGCGUAGGCGGAGCGUUAAGUCAGUGGUGAAAUCCUGCAGCUUAACUGUAGACUUGCCAUUGAUGCUGGCGCUCUUGAGUGCGCUUGAAGUGGGCGGAAUGUGCCGUGUAGCGGUGAAAUGCUUAGAUAUGGCACAGAACACCAAUUGCGAAGGCAGCUCACUAAGGCGAUACUGACGCUGAGGCACGAAAGCGUGGGGAUCGAACAGGAUUAGAAACCCUAGUAGUCC
rnacentral:rRNA from 1 species